AGAGUUUGAUCCUGGCUCAGAACGAACGCUGGCGGCGUGCUUAACACAUGCAAGUCGAACGAGUGUAGCAAUACAUUCGUGGCGAACGGGUGCGUAACACGUGGAUAACCUUCCUUGAGGUGGGGAAUAACCCCGCGAAAGCGGGGCUAAUACCGCAUAACAAAGCGAUGGCACAUGCUGUUGCUUUCAAAGGAGCAAUUCGCCACAAGAGGGAUCCGCGGCCGAUUAGCUAGUUGGUGAGGUAACGGCUCACCAAGGCUAUGAUCGGUAGCCGGACUGAGAGGUUGGCCGGCCACACUGGAACUGAGACACGGUCCAGACUCCUACGGGAGGCAGCAGUGGGGAAUCUUGCGCAAUGCGCGAAAGCGUGACGCAGCAACGCCGCGUGGGGGAAGAAGGCCUUCGGGUUGUAAGCCCCUUUCAGUUGGGACGAAGCUUCGCCGGUGAAUAGCCGGCCGGAGUGACGGUACCUUCAGAAGAAGCCCCGGCUAACUACGUGCCAGCAGCCGCGGUAAUAC
rnacentral:rRNA from 1 species